UUGGAGGGCAAGUCUGGUGCCAGCAGCCGCGGUAAUUCCAGCUCCAAUAGCGUAUAUUAAAGUUGUUGCAGUUAAAAAGCUCGUAGUUGAAUUUCGGGAUCAGUAGGUUGGUCAUGCCUAUGGUAUGUACUGGCUUUACUGGUUCCUCCUUCUUGAUGAUCUGUAAUGUCAUUAAUUUGGUGUUGCAGGGAGUCAGGACUGAUACUUUGAAAAAAUUAGAGUGUUUAAAGCAGGC
rnacentral:rRNA from 1 species